UACGUAGGGGGCAAGCGUUGUCCGGAUUUAUUGGGCGUAAAGAGCGUGUAGGCGGUUAGGUAGGUCCGUUGUGAAAACUCGAGGCUCAACCUCGAGACGCCGAUGGAAACCAUCUGACUAGAGUCCGGAAGAGGAGAGUGGAAUUCCUGGUGUAGCGGUGAAAUGCGCAGAUAUCAGGAAGAACACCUGUGGCUAAGGCGGCUCUCUAGUACGUGACUGACGCUGAGACGCGAAAGCGUGGGGAGCGAACAGG
rnacentral:rRNA from 1 species